rnacentral:rRNA from 1 species
GGAUUGUUAGCUUAUCUACGAGCCUUUGCAGCCUCCCCAGGUUGGUCCCGCGACUCAAAACAAUGGUCAUGACCGCUGCAAGUCGAUUGAUUCGGCGACAUAGCUAAGUUAUCGGGAAACCCCAAGCUGCCUACCCGGCGCUGGGUAAUCCGUAGCACUCCCGCGAGUGUUCACAGGCCAAAUAGCUAUGGGUUCAGGUCACUCUGGGCUUAAGAUAUGGUCGGGCGCUACGAGCAACCCUAGCGAGCACCGUUCCGUAGGUGAACCUGCGGAAGGAUCAUUAUAGAAUACCGGGCUUUCGGGCCCUAUUCUCACCCUUUGUCUACCCAACUUCGUUGCCUCGGCGGAAACGCCGAAGGACAGUAACCCUAAGAAUUAUUGCAGUCUGAGAGCUAUAUAAUAGUUAAAACUUUCAACAACGGAUCUCUUGGUUCUGGCAUCGAUGAAAAACGCAGCGAAAUGCGAUAAGUAAUGUGAAUUGCAGAAUUCAGUGAAUCAUCGAAUCUUUGAACGCACAUUGCGCCCCCUGGCACUCCGGGGGGCAUGCCUGUUCGAGCGUCAUUACAACCCUCAAGCUCUGCUUGGUGUUGGGCUCGCCUCCCCGGAGGCCUGCCUCAAAAUCAGUGGCGGCCGCCGUCCGACCUUAAGCGCAGUAAUACUCGCCGCUUGUAGGAUACGGGUGGCUCGCUUGCCAGCAACCCCCCCAAUUUUCAAAGGUUGACCUCGGAUCAGGUAGGGAUACCCGCUGAACUUAAGCAUAUCAAUAAGCGGAGGAAA